UACGUAGGGUGCGAGCGUUUAAUCGGAAUUACUGGGCGUAAAGCGUGCGCAGGCGGUUCGUCGUGUCCGAUGUGAAAGCCCGGGCUCAACCUGGGAAUGGCAUUGGAAACUGGCGGGCUUGAGUGUGGCAGAGGGGGUGGAAGUUCCGCGUGUAGCAGUAAAAUGCGUAGAGAUGCGGAGGAACACCGAUGGCGAAGGCAGCCCCUGGGCUGAC
rnacentral:rRNA from 1 species